GACGAACCGUGCGACCGUUGUUCGGAUUCACUGGGCUUAAAGGGCGCGUAGGCGGACUCGCCAGUCUGUGGUGAAAGCCCCCAGCUUAACUGGGGAAGUGCCGUGGAUACUGCGAGUCUGGAGGAGGGUAGGGGCAUCUGGAACGCUGGGUGGAGCGGUGAAAUGCGUUGAUAUCCAGCGGAACUCCGGUGGCGAAGGCGAGGUGCUGGACCCUUUCUGACGCUGAGGCGCGAAAGCCAGGGGAGCAAACGGG
rnacentral:rRNA from 1 species